rnacentral:rRNA from 1 species
UUUCCUACGGGGCGCAGCAGUGGGGAAUAUUGGACAAUGGGGGGAACCCUGAUCCAGCGACGCCGCGUGAGUGAAGAAGUAUUUCGGUAUGUAAAGCUCUAUCAGCAGGGAAGAAAGGAAUGACGGUACCUGACUAAGAAGCCCCGGCUAACUACGUGCCAGCAGCCGCGGUAAUACGUAGGGGGCAAGCGUUAUCCGGAUUUACUGGGUGUAAAGGGAGCGUAGACGGUUACGCAAGUCUGGAGUGAAAGGCGGGGGCCCAACCCCCGGACUGCUUUGGAAACUGUAUAACUGGAGUGCAGGAG